rnacentral:rRNA from 1 species
GGUUAAGCGACUAAGCGUACACGGUGGAUGCCCUGGCAGUCAGAGGCGAUGAAGGACGUGCUAAUCUGCGAAAAGCGUCGGUAAGGUGAUAUGAACCGUUACAGCCGGCGAUGUCCGAAUGGGGAAACCCAGUGCAAUUCGUUGCACUAUCGUUAACUGAAUACAUAGGUUAACGAGGCGAACCGGGGGAACUGAAACAUCUAAGUACCCCGAGGAAAAGAAAUCAACCGAGAUUCCCCCAGUAGCGGCGAGCGAACGGGGAGCAGCCCAGAGUCUGAAUCAGCUUGUGUGUUAGUGGAACGGUCUGGAAAGUCCGACGGUACAGGGUGAUAGUCCCGUACACCAAAAUGCACAGGUUGUGAACUCGAAGAGUAGGGCGGGACACGUGGUAUCCUGUCUGAAUAUGGGGGGACCAUCCUCCAAGGCUAAAUACUCCUGACUGACCGAUAGUGAACCAGUACCGUGAGGGAAAGGCGAAAAGAACCCCGGCGAGGGGAGUGAAAAAGAACCUGAAACCGUGUACGUACAAGCAGUGGGAGCACCUUCGGGUGUGACUGCGUACCUUUUGUAUAAUGGGUCAGCGACUUAUAUUCUGUAGCAAGGUUAACCGUAUAGGGGAGCCGCAGGGAAACCGAGUCUUAACUGGGCGUUAAGUUGCAGGGUAUAGACCCGAAACCCGGUGAUCUAGCCAUGGGCAGGUUGAAGGUUGGGUAACACUAACUGGAGGACCGAACCGACUAAUGUUGAAAAAUUAGCGGAUGACUUGUGGCUGGGGGUGAAAGGCCAAUCAAACCGGGAGAUAGCUGGUUCUCCCCGAAAGCUAUUUAGGUAGCGCCUCGUGAACUCAUCUUCGGGGGUAGAGCACUGUUUCGGCUAGGGGGUCAUCCCGACUUACCAACCCGAUGCAAACUACGAAUACCGAAGAAUGUUAUCACGGGAGACACACGGCGGGUGCUAACGUCCGUCGUGAAGAGGGAAACAACCCAGACCGCCAGCUAAGGUCCCAAAGUCAUGGUUAAGUGGGAAACGAUGUGGGAAGGCACAGACAGCCAGGAUGUUGGCUUAGAAGCAGCCAUCAUUUAAAGAAAGCGUAAUAGCUCACUGGUCGAGUCGGCCUGCGCGGAAGAUGUAACGGGGCUAAACCAUGCACCGAAGCUGCGGCAGCGACACUAUGUGUUGUUGGGUAGGGGAGCGUUCUGUAAGCCUGCGAAGGUGUGCUGUGAGGCAUGCUGGAGGUAUCAGAAGUGCGAAUGCUGACAUAAGUAACGAUAAAGCGGGUGAAAAGCCCGCUCGCCGGAAGACCAAGGGUUCCUGUCCAACGUUAAUCGGGGCAGGGUGAGUCGACCCCUAAGGCGAGGCCGAAAGGCGUAGUCGAUGGGAAACAGGUUAAUAUUCCUGUACUUGGUGUUACUGCGAAGGGGGGACGGAGAAGGCUAUGUUAGCCGGGCGACGGUUGUCCCGGUUUAAGCAUGUAGGCUGGUUGUCCAGGCAAAUCCGGAUAAUCAAGGCUGAGGUGUGAUGACGAGGCACUACGGUGCUGAAGUAACAAAUGCCCUGCUUCCAGGAAAAGCCUCUAAGCAUCAGGUAACAUUAAAUCGUACCCCAAACCGACACAGGUGGUCAGGUAGAGAAUACCAAGGCGCUUGAGAGAACUCGGGUGAAGGAACUAGGCAAAAUGGUGCCGUAACUUCGGGAGAAGGCACGCUGGUGUGUAGGUGAAGUCCCUGCGGAUGGAGCUGAGACCAGUCGAAGAUACCAGCUGGCUGCAACUGUUUAUUAAAAACACAGCACUGUGCAAACACGAAAGUGGACGUAUACGGUGUGACGCCUGCCCGGUGCCGGAAGGUUAAUUGAUGGGGUUAUCCGUAAGGAGAAGCUCUUGAUCGAAGCCCCGGUAAACGGCGGCCGUAACUAUAACGGUCCUAAGGUAGCGAAAUUCCUUGUCGGGUAAGUUCCGACCUGCACGAAUGGCGUAAUGAUGGCCAGGCUGUCUCCACCCGAGACUCAGUGAAAUUGAACUCGCUGUGAAGAUGCAGUGUACCCGCGGCAAGACGGAAAGACCCCGUGAACCUUUACUAUAGCUUGACACUGAACAUUGAGCCUUGAUGUGUAGGAUAGGUGGGAGGCUUUGAAGCGUGGACGCCAGUCUGCGUGGAGCCAACCUUGAAAUACCACCCUUUAAUGUUUGAUGUUCUAACGUUGGCCCCUUACCGGGGUUGCGGACAGUGUCUGGUGGGUAGUUUGACUGGGGCGGUCUCCUCCCAAAGCGUAACGGAGGAGCACGAAGGUUAGCUAAUCCUGGUCGGACAUCAGGAGGUUAGUGCAAUGGCAUAAGCUAGCUUGACUGCGAGCGUGACGGCGCGAGCAGGUGCGAAAGCAGGUCAUAGUGAUCCGGUGGUUCUGAAUGGAAGGGCCAUCGCUCAACGGAUAAAAGGUACUCCGGGGAUAACAGGCUGAUACCGCCCAAGAGUUCAUAUCGACGGCGGUGUUUGGCACCUCGAUGUCGGCUCAUCACAUCCUGGGGCUGAAGUAGGUCCCAAGGGUAUGGCUGUUCGCCAUUUAAAGUGGUACGCGAGCUGGGUUUAGAACGUCGUGAGACAGUUCGGUCCCUAUCUGCCGUGGGCGCUGGAGAAUUGAGGGGGGCUGCUCCUAGUACGAGAGGACCGGAGUGGACGCAUCACUGGUGUUCGGGUUGUCAUGCCAAUGGCACUGCCCGGUAGCUAAAUGCGGAAGAGAUAAGUGCUGAAAGCAUCUAAGCACGAAACUUGCCCCGAGAUGAGUUCUCCCUGAGACUUUAAGUCUCCUGAAGGAACGUUAAAGACGAUGACGUUGAUAGGCCGGGUGUGUAAGCGCAGCGAUGCGUUGAGCUAACCGGUACUAAUGAACCGUGAGGCUUAACCUU